rnacentral:rRNA from 1 species
UACGGAGGGGGCUAGCGUUGUUCGGAAUUACUGGGCGUAAAGCGCACGUAGGCGGCUUUGUAAGUUAGAGGUGAAAGCCCAGGGCCUAACCCUGGAAUUGCCUUUAAGACUGCAUCGCUAGAAUCGUGGAGAGGUGAGUGGAAUUCCGAGUGUAGAGGUGAAAUUCGUAGAUAUCGGAAGAACACCAGUGGCGAAGGCGACUCACUGGACACGUAUUGACGCGUGAGG